GACGAACGCUGGCGGCGUGCUUAACACAUGCAAGUCGAACGGAAAGGCCCUGCUUUUGUGGGGUGCUCGAGUGGCGAACGGGUGAGUAACACGUGAGUAACCUGCCCUUGACUUUGGGAUAACUUCAGGAAACUGGGGCUAAUACCGGAUAGGAGCUCCUGCUGCAUGGUGGGGGUUAGAAAGUUUCGGCGGUUGGGGAUGGACUCGCGGCUUAUCAGCUUGUUGGUGGGGUAGUGGCUUACCAAGGCUUUGACGGGUAGCCGGCCUGAGAGGGUGACCGGCCACAUUGGGACUGAGAUACGGCCCAGACUCCUACGGGAGGCAGCAGUGGGGAAUAUUGCACAAUGGGCGGAAGCCUGAUGCAGCAACGCCGCGCGCGGGAUGACGGCCUUCGGGUUGUAAACCGCUUUCGCCUGUGACGAAGCGUGAGUGACGGUAAUGGGUAAAGAAGCACCGGCUAACUACGUG
rnacentral:rRNA from 1 species